rnacentral:rRNA from 1 species
UUGACCUCAAAUCAGGUGGGACUACCCGCUGAACUUAAGCAUAUCAAUAAGCGGAGGAAAAGAAACUAACAAGGAUUCCCUUAGUAACUGCGAGUGAAGUAGGAGGAGCUCAAAUUUGAAAUCUGGCAGUCUCUGGCUGUCCGAGUUGUAAUCUAGAGAAGUGUUGCCCGCGCUGGACCGUGUACAAGUCUCCUGGGAUGGAGCGUCAUAGAGGGUGAGAAUCCCGUCUCUGACAUGGACUACCAGGGCUUUUGUGGUGCGCUCUCAAAGAGUCGAG